rnacentral:lncRNA from 1 species
AAAUCUGGCUUUGGGAUGGAGGAAUUAUAUAGUCCAUUACCAGUAAUCACCCCUCCCUGAUGCCAUUAAAUAAACAGAGAAAAAGAAAAGUGGACACAUUUGUUCAUGAAAACAAUCCCUCACUAGAAGCUGAUCACCCUCUGUGAGGGGUAGAUGAAGGAAAUUAAGAACACAGAUUUGAGAAUUCAAAAGAUUGGUAGGAAAAUAGAACCUGGAAUCCAGCUCUAGGAAAUGAUGCUAAUAGGAAAGGAAGAAUAUAUGUUGAACUACAAAACCAAAAAUUCUCUUAAACGUCUUUUAAAGACAUUCUUACAGACAUUUGACUAAGUCAAAAGAUUCUUCCAGAAUUUGACAUCU